rnacentral:rRNA from 1 species
AUCGGUGACAGGUGGUGCAUGGUUGUCGUCAGCUCGUGUCGUGAGAUGUUGGUUAAGUCCCGCAACGAGCGCAACCCCUAUUGUUAGUUGCCAUCAUUCAGUUGGGCACUCUAGCGAGACUGCCGGUAAUAAACCGGAGGAAGGUGGGGAUGACGUCAAAUCAUCAUGCCCCUUAUGACCUGGGCUACACACGUGCUACAAUGGUUGGUACAACGAGUUGCGAGUCGGUGACGGCGAGCUAAUCUCUUAAAGCCAAUCUCAGUUCGGAUUGUGGGCUGCAACUCGCCUACAUGAAGUCGGAAUCGCUAGUAAUCGCGGAUCAGCACGCCGCGGUGAAUACGUUCCCGGGCCUU